UGCAAACUGCGAAUACCGGAGAAUGUUAUCACGGGAGACACACGGCGGGUGCUAACGUCCGUCGUGAAGAGGGAAACAACCCAGACCGCCAGCUAAGGUCCCAAAGUCAUGGUUAAGUGGGAAACGAUGUGGGAAGGCCCAGACAGCCAGGAUGUUGGCUUAGAAGCAGCCAUCAUUUAAAGAAAGCGUAAUAGCUCACUGGUCGAGUCGGCCUGCGCGGAAGAUGUAACGGGGCUAAACCAUGCACCGAAGCUGCGGCAGCGACACUAUGUGUUGUUGGGUAGGGGAGCGUUCUGUAAGCCUGUGAAGGUGUACUGUGAGGUAUGCUGGAGGUAUCAGAAGUGCGAAUGCUGACAUAAGUAACGAUAAAGCGGGUGAAAAGCCCGCUCGCCGGAAGACCAAGGGUUCCUGUCCAACGUUAAUCGGGGCAGGGUGAGUCGACCCCUAAGGCGAGGCCGAAAGGCGUAGUCGAUGGGAAACAGGUUAAUAUUCCUGUACUUGGUGUUACUGCGAAGGGGGGACGGAGAAGGCUAUGUUGGCCGGGCGACGGUUGUCCCGGUUUAAGCGUGUAGGCUGGUUUUCCAGGCAAAUCCGGAAAAUCAAGGCUGAGGCGUGAUGACGAGGCACUACGGUGCUGAAGCAACAAAUGCCCUGCUUCCAGGAAAAGCCUCUAAGCAUCAGGUAACAUCAAAUCGUACCCCAAACCGACACAGGUGGUCAGGUAGAGAAUACCAAGGCGCUUGAGAGAACUCGGGUGAAGGAACUAGGCAAAAUGGUGCCGUAACUUCGGGAGAAGGCACGCUGAUAUGUAGGUGAAGUCCCUUGCGGAUGGAGCUGAAAUCAGUCGAAGAUACCAGCUGGCUGCAACUGUUUAUUAAAAACACAGCACUGUGCAAACACGAAAGUGGACGUAUACGGUGUGACGCCUGCCCGGUGCCGGAAGGUUAAUUGAUGGGGUUAGCGGUAACGCGAAGCUCUUGAUCGAAGCCCCGGUAAACGGCGGCCGUAACUAUAACGGUCCUAAGGUAGCGAAAUUCCUUGUCGGGUAAGUUCCGACCUGCACGAAUGGCGUAAUGAUGGCCAGGCUGUCUCCACCCGAGACUCAGUGAAAUUGAACUCGCUGUGAAGAUGCAGUGUACCCGCGGCAAGACGGAAAGACCCCGUGAACCUUUACUAUAGCUUGACACUGAACAUUGAGCCUUGAUGUGUAGGAUAGGUGGGAGGCUUUGAAGUGUGGACGCCAGUCUGCAUGGAGCCGGCCUUGAAAUACCACCCUUUAAUGUUUGAUGUUCUAACGUUGGCCCCUGAUCGGGGUUGCGGACAGUGUCUGGUGGGUAGUUUGACUGGGGCGGUCUCCUCCUAAAGAGUAACGGAGGAGCACGAAGGUUGGCUAAUCCUGGUCGGACAUCAGGAGGUUAGUGCAAUGGCAUAAGCCAGCUUGACUGCGAGCGUGACGGCGCGAGCAGGUGCGAAAGCAGGUCAUAGUGAUCCGGUGGUUCUGAAUGGAAGGGCCAUCGCUCAACGGAUAAAAGGUACUCCGGGGAUAACAGGCUGAUACCGCCCAAGAGUUCAUAUCGACGGCGGUGUUUGGCACCUCGAUGUCGGCUCAUCACAUCCUGGGGCUGAAGUAGGUCCCAAGGGUAUGGCUGUUCGCCAUUUAAAGUGGUACGCGAGCUGGGUUUAGAACGUCGUGAGACAGUUCGGUCCCUAUCUGCCGUGGGCGCUGGAGAACUGAGGGGGGCUGCUCCUAGUACGAGAGGACCGGAGUGGACGCAUCACUGGUGUUCGGGUUGUCAUGCCAAUGGCACUGCCCGGUAGCUAAAUGCGGAAGAGAUAAGUGCUGAAAGCAUCUAAGCACGAAACUUGCCCCGAGAUGAGUUCUCCCUGACUCCUUGAGAGUCCUGAAGGAACGUUGAAGACGACGACGUUGAUAGGCCGGGUGUGUAAGCGCAGCGAUGCGUUGAGCUAACCGGUACUAAUGAACCGUGAGGCUUAACCUU
rnacentral:rRNA from 1 species